GGUUCGAUGGCGUAGUUGGUUAUCGCAUCUGUCUAACACACAGAAGGUCCUCAGGUCAAGCAUGGGUCGAAUCA
rnacentral:tRNA from 1 species